AAUUGAUGUUAACAUUCGCCACACAUAUUUAUGCAGUGAGUGUCUUGUCCACGCCGAGAUCCUGGACACAUUCAAGCACACUCGACUGUGAUAUCCCCGGAGACACCGGAAGAUGUCGAUUUGGACAUUAAUUAACAUGUUAUUGGGUUCCCAUAGACCUACGAUACAUGUUUGGUUGUUGGGAUAUCUGAUGUGGUUGACUAGCGCCAGGUUGUGAGGAGUUCUUCAGAUUCAUUAACCUACACGUACAGGUAUCCUAUGACCAAAUCAAUUUACCAGACCUGAUGUGGCGCUGGUCACCUUGGAAUUGAUUUACAGACAUAUGUAACUGCCAUAUUUAAGUUGGAAUGACCAGUAUACAUUGUGUUCCUGAGAUCUAUAGAAAAAUAGUGAUGUGUCAACACAAGAAGACUGCUUGUA